CGUGAGAUGUUGGGUUAAGUCCCGCAACGAGCGCAACCCCUAUCAACAGUUGCCAUCAUUAAGUUGGGAACUCUGUUGAGACUGCCGUUGAUAAAACGGAGGAAGGUGGGGAUGAUGUCAAGUCAUCAUGGCCUUUAUGUUCAGGGCUACACACGUGCUACAAUGGACGGUACAAAACGUCGCGAUCCUGCAAGGGGGGAGCUAAUCGCAAAAACCGUUCUCAGUUCGGAUUGAAGUCUGCAACUCGACUUCA
rnacentral:rRNA from 1 species